rnacentral:rRNA from 1 species
GACGAACGCUGGCGGCGUGCUUAACACAUGCAAGUCGAGCGGUAAGGCUCCUUCGGGAGUACACGAGCGGCGAACGGGUGAGUAACACGUGAGCAAUCUGCCCAUCACUUCGGGAUAACUCCGGGAAACCGGUGCUAAUACCGAAUACGACCACUUCAGGCAUCUGACGGUGGUGGAAAGUUCCGGCGGUGAUGGAUGAGCUCGCGGUCUAUCAGCUUGUUGGUGGGGUAAUGGCCUACCAAGGCUUCGACGGGUAGCCGGCCUGAGAGGGUGACCGGCCACACUGGGACUGAGACACGGCCCAGACUCCUACGGGAGGCAGCAGUGGGGAAUAUUGGACAAUGGGCGAAAGCCUGAUCCAGCAACGCCGCGUGAGGGAUGACGGCCUUCGGGUUGUAAACCUCUUUCAGCGCCGACGAAGCGAAAGUGACGGUAGGCGCAGAAGAAGCACCGGCCAACUACGUGCCAGCAGCCGCCGUAAGAC